GAGUUUGAUCGUGGCUCAGAUUGAACGCUGGCGGCAGGCCUAACACAUGCAAGUCGAGCGGAUGACGGGAGCUUGCUCCUUGAUUCAGCGGCGGACGGGUGAGUAAUGCCUAGGAAUCUGCCUGGUAGUGGGGGACAACGUUUCGAAAGGAACGCUAAUACCGCAUACGUCCUACGGGAGAAAGCAGGGGACCUUCGGGCCUUGCGCUAUCAGAUGAGCCUAGGUCGGAUUAGCUAGUUGGUGGGGUAAUGGCUCACCAAGGCGACGAUCCGUAACUGGUCUGCGAGGAUGAUCAGUCACACUGGAACUGAGACACGGUCCAGACUCCUACGGGAGGCAGCAGUGGGGAAUAUUGGACAAUGGGGGCAACCCUGAUCCAGCCAUGCCGCGUGAGUGAAGAAGGCC
rnacentral:rRNA from 1 species